AUUGAACGCUGGCGGCGUGCCUAAUACAUGCAAGUCGAACGGAGUGGCGCACGGGUGUGUAAUGUAUAGCUAAUCCGCCCUACACUAGAGGACAACAGUUUGAAACGGCUGCUAAUACUCUAUAGUGUAGGAUGAGGCUAUAUUGUAUCAGCUAGUUGGUGAGGUAAUGGCUCACCAAGGCUAUGACGCAUAACUGGUCUGAGAGGAUGAUCAGUCGAACUGGAACGGAGACACGGGCCAGGCUGCUACGGGAAGGAGCAGUAGGGAAUAUUGCUCAAGGGGGGAAACCGUGAAACAGCAACGCGGCGUGGAGGAUGACACUUUUCGGAGCGUAAAGUCCUUUUGAUAGGGAAGCGGUACCUAACGAAUAAGCACCGGCUAACUCCGUGCCAGCAGCCGCGGUAAUAC
rnacentral:rRNA from 1 species